GCGUGUGCUCCCAGGAUUCCCUCUUGAUUCCUCCGCAGUGUUUUGAGCAAAUCACUUUACCUGGUUUCCAGCAGCCGAGCUGGCGCCACGGAAACCUGCCACCUACGCCUGACACAUGUCCGGAUUGCCGAGUGAGCUUCCGUAAACAUCAGCCACAUCCCACUGUGCCGGACGCGUCACCGUCUUUGUUUCCGCCGUCGAGCGUGACCCCAAGAGCUUGCGUGGGGUCCACGCUCCCUGACGCACAGACAUCCCUGUUUUGUCAGUUCCUUUCUGUUCCCUGAAGCCCUUCACCCACGGAAUCAUUUUUAGGGUUUGCUCUUCAAAAUCUUUUCCAAUGUCUGAUUCACCUCAGUGUUGGUGGCAAUUGUCUUUUCUGGUUCAAUUUGUGCUUUUCCUGAUUCUUGGUGUGACAGGUGUUUUUUGUUGCUCUGGAUCCUGCCUGUGGGGACAGGAAACCCUGGGUCAUGUUUAAACCUUUCGUUCAGCAGGGUUCUGGCCUAGGCCUGGGACCAGGCUUCGAUGUGGCAGCCACAUUUCAGAGCCGGGGGGAACAUCAGUCUGCUUGGUGGAUCCAGUGCCAUUUGAGCUCCUGCUGGUGCCUUCUGGGGCAGAGGGUCCUCACUCCCACCUGCACCUGGGUCUCCUGGCAGGGAGGGGCUGGGCCCUGGGCCGUGGCCAGCUCCGUGGCUAGCUCGUGGCUACCGCUUCACUGGCCGUUGGCUGCUGGCGGGGCUCCGGCCGACCCCAAGCUGCUGUGGCGGGUCCUCCAGCAUGCCAGGACACGGGCGCAGGGGGAGGCCGAGCACCAUGACACUGGUGCACACCUGGGGCACAGCCCUGGCCCUGGGGCUGAGCGAGGAGGGUGGACGGCGCCCAGCCCGGUCUCAGCCUCUGCUGCCUCAGGCUCCACCAGAGCAGGGACAAGCCCACACGGCCAGGCCAGGCCUUGUGUCCCUCCUCUGCAGCCCCGCACAGGGCAGGCUCUGAGCCAUGUGCUGCUCCAGGCCUGAGGUCCCUGACACAUCCAUCUCCCUCCUCCUUCUCCGUGGCUGCCUCAGGCUCUGCUCUUUCCGGGGUUUGUGGUUGUGCUUAGUGGGGGAGGGAGCGUCGCGGGGGGUGCCUCCUCGGGACUGGAAGUGGGGCGUGCGCUGCUGAGCCGUCCUAAUCCUGUUUGCAGCGAGGUGGGGGACGCGUGAGCGCCUGCAGGUGAGGCCGGGCAGGUGGCAGCUGGAUCCUGGGCCCCCGUGGGUCUCGAUGCUCGGCCUCCGUCUCAGGAGGACCGGGACCCUCCCAGUUGACCACAGACGGGCUUGGCUGCCGCCUCCUUCCCAGGAGCCGCGGCACCAGCCCAGCCUGUGCACCCUUCACUCCGACGCCCACAUCACCUCACAGGCGUUUCCCGGUAAAACAAGAAUCCUCGUGUCCAGCCCUGCCCAGCACCUGGGCGGACGCCACCCCGACCAUCUGUGCCUGCUGGCGUCACAGCAACGGGGAAAGGGGUCUGUGUGCAGGGGCUCGUCCCAGCGGGAGGGCAGCGGGCACAGGUGAGCGGUUUUGGCAGCUACUUCCCUUCUUGCCGGACGUUGUGCCAGUGCUGUGGCGGGUCCUCCAGCACGCCAGGACACGGGCACAGGGGGAGGCCGAGCACCAUGACACUGGUGCACACCUGGGGCACAGCCCUGGCCCCGGGGCUGAGCGAGGAGAGUGGACGGCACCCAGCCCGGUCUCAGCCUCUGCUGCCAGCUCCCCAGCUGCACGUCACCCCCGAGGGGCCUGCGGUCCCCAGAGCGCCCACUCGGCCACCCACAAGCGCAGCUGAAGGUUUUCACGCCCGGUGGUGCGCGAAGGCACACUCCAAGCCCUUGGUCCCCUCCUCUUCCUGGAGACCGUGGGACCAGACCUCCCGUCUGGGUGCCUCCCAGAACACGCAGGUUGGGUUUCCCGUGCUUGGAGAGCGGCCAGCGGCUGCCUGCGCCAGGCCUGUGCAGGGCCGGGGCACAAUGGCGGCUCUGUCGGCGGCCCGGGCGGGGCCCUGCGGCUCCAUGGGGGUCUGGCCCAGACUUGGCCUAGGCAGGAGACGUUGGCAGCUGGGGCGUGAGCGGAGCGGUCAGGGCGCACAGCCCUCGCACAGCGUGGACAGCAGGUGGUGCGGCCACCCAACCCCUGUGGACCUGGGAGGCCACAGCACCCCCCCCCCAGAAGGGACCUGGAAGGCUGGCGCUUGGCCAGCUCGCUGGUAACAGACGCCAGGAGAGGGCAGGGUGUCUGGGCGGUGUUGGAUCUGUCAGGAGUCCGGGCACAUGACACUUGGCACACUCCCCCAAUUAUUGCCUGGAUUCUGCACGCUACCCGCCGUGUGGGCGCACGGCGUCGUAAUGGAACCUACCACCAGAGUCUCUGCCGCUAAUUAGCCGGGUGACCUGCAGCAACUUCCCUGGGUCUCAGUUUCUCUGUCCCUAAGGGUAGGGCUGGUGAAGUGAUGGCCCCGCAGAGACAUGAGCCUGGGAGGGGCUCAGAUGCAGGGACCCACCGCCCCACCGUCCACCCACGAGGAGGGAAUGCAGGACAGACUGCCACACUGGUGCCCAGCAGAUGACGUCGGUCGGUCCCGCAGAACGCAGGGCAGAGGCGUCAGCCCCGUGUGGGGGCUGGUGAGGAACGAGAGCCCAGAGGUGCAGAACCAGCCCUCCCCCAGCUGGCCCGACCGGCACCCGGGCCUGGACCAGGCUCUGGAGAGGAGGGGCCGGGAGCCCCGACAGCCUCGCCCCCGCCGCUGGCCGCUCACGACCUCGGCUCUGCCCUCAUCAGGGGCCUCUUCGGCCCGUCCCUGACCUCCCUGCACAGGCCUGGGCGGGGCCGAGCAGGGCCGGGGAGCCACACACCCCACCAUGCUCAGGGGUCUGCAGGGCCCACCGCGCCCCCGAGCUUCACUGAGCACCUUUCUGGUUCAGAGUCGAGCCCAGUCGGCCAGUGCGGUGGCUCCCGUCUGCAACCCCGGCUCGUGGGGGGGCGGGGGGCGGAGGCUGCAGUGAGCCGUGACCCGAUGACGUUAACGGCCCCAGAUGUGUUUGGGGAAAAGUAACCUGGGUCUCCUCGCCGUGAUCACUUCCCAAGUCGCAUGUCCUGCCCACCAAGGGACAGUCGAGGCCCAGUGUGCCACCUCCGUCCGUGCCUCUCCGCCAGCCGGGACGAGGAGGACCUGCUCCCUGAGGUGGAGACGGCCCGCUGCCACCGCGCACGCGGGCACCACGGCGCACAGAACACCACCAGCAGCACUUGGAAACUGGGUUUCCGACCUUGCACACGAGUCAGGUGAGCUCACCACGGGAGCCCUGGAUGACCGUCUGACCCCGGAGCCUCCCACACCCACCCCUGCCCCGUCCAGCCCCCGAGUGGAGAAGUGCCCAGUGCUGGGCGAGAGAACACAUCCGGCACCACGGGCUGGUGUGAGGGGCUGCGGGGAGCUCAUGCCCACCACAAGGAGGGCGCAGGCACUGGGCAAGCGAAGAGCCGACGUUUGCCGAAUGGGCGUGUCGGGUAUUUUGCGCUGGAUACUCCCAUGGCAAGUGCAGUUGACUUUGCUCUAGAGAGGAAGGAGCAGGGCGAGGGCAGUCCAAUGGGACACCCAUCUGGACGGUGGCCGCGCGGGAAGCCACCUUAGCAUCACCCAGUGGAGCCCUCUGUACGGAAGGGGAAACUGAGUCCUGGGGAGCCAAGUGCCUCGUGUGGGGCUGAGAGGAAGGCUGAGGUUGGCCCUGGGGUGAAAGGUCUAUUUCCAACGCCGCCCGACCUGCAGGCUGACUCGGGAGAUCAGACGCACACCCCAGCCCCCCGACACCCACAAACCGCCUGCUCGGGCAUGUCUGGGGCAACACGGCCACAGGACAGGGUCCUGGCCAAGUGCACGAGCUCAAACAGCCCCGCAACAGCCCGGAGCAACUCGGGGAAAGUCCCUGCCGCGGGUUUACGCGAGGAGCCGUCUAAUUGAGAGCUGAGCGGCCGCAUCACUGCUGUAAUUGGCCAGGAAACGCGCCUCAUGAAAGCAUGUUCUGUUUGAACUGUGCCUUAUUCCGAAAGAAUUUCAUUAAAGCAAUUAUAUUUUAAUAAA